AAGGAUAUGUGACUCCAAACCUGUGUCAUAGUCUACUCACUGAACACUGGCUCUCCACAAGGAGGACCAGCCCAGAGAAUGGACAUGGAUAAUUGUAAAGCCAGCAUUAAGGCCAAGAAAAUAACGACAUGCCUGCCCUGUUGAUUGUGGGCUUGGAGGGUCAUCUCUGUACAUGAAGGACAGCAAGACUGUGUGCUGAGGUGCUCAACAGCAGCCCAAGUGCUUUUGGAGUAAUGACAGGAAAUACCAAACUUCAGGAAGACAUCAUACCCUGUGUUCAGAAGACUGACAAUCUGAAAGAAAGCUGUGAGUGCAUUCCAUUGAGGAUUCCAGUAAGAAGAGACCAUCGUGUUCCUCUUUCCAAGUGCCUUGUUAAAAGCCUGAGGACAGAUUCCGCCUGCUUCACUUACCCUGGGAGUAACUGCCCCCGGCUGUACCGUGCCAGAUCUCUCCUUCCUGCUGAGGAGCAGCUCCCUUAAUGACGUCUUGGUCUGGUUCCAUAACUUUCCAGCCACUUUCGGUUACUACAACAGUCUCAUUCCAGUAAUUAAGAUUCAGUCUCUUGUAUUUUUAAAACUUUCAUCACAAACUCAAUUCAAUGCUCCCCCUUCCCCUCUCACCCCCCGCCUCCGUUCCCUCCAGCACAAGCCAGAGUUGGGGCCUGGCUGUUUGGAGCCAUGGAGGGACUGCGGGCUGGCUUGAAGGUGCCUCAUCUUCUUCUUGAGGCCUCAGCAUCUCUGGGCAGAGGCGGGAAGGGGAGUAAGAGGCCUCUUUACAGGGGUGUCUGUCACCCCCUCCGGGUCUGUCUGGCCCUGUUAGAUGCUGGAGACCUCACCCAGCCCUCCUCUAUCACUGAGGACAGCUUACCCCUCCUCCCUCCACCCAGCUGCACCUCCCUUUGGCCUCACCAAUGGUGUAGGUGCCCAGCCACCCCUUCUUUGGCUUGGCUAUGGAACUCUUAACUCAGCAGCCACCUGGGCAAACCCUCAGCUCCUGCCCUUCCACGGACUUCCAUGCAUCUCCUCAUGGAGCCACAGAGCCUGCUGGCAUCCUCUCCGAUAACCCUUCGGGGGCCACACAGACCUGAGAAGGGAGCGCUGCCCCAUCUUCUUCCCAAUCCUGCUGCACCAGGGUCCUUCCAGCCCUGCGGGGUGGGCUAUGACAGUGGGCCUCCUGCUCUCAGAGUCUCCAGGCCUGAAGCGGGUACCAGUCUCUACAUGGAAGUGUAAUGCCAGACCUCAAAGUAUGUACACCGAGUACUCGGCUUUUCUCUCCCACCGUGGGGGAAAGGAACAAAAAGGAUACCGGGCUGCAGCCCCAGGCUCCCAGGAUGGCAAGGACUCUGACGCUGCUCUGUGCCGCUGCAGCAUUGUGAUAUAUUUGCAACCACUCUGAGCAGAAAGGUGUUAUUAUCAUUCUCCUUUUAUGGGUGAGGAAACUGAAGCAUGGAGGUUAGCGAUUUGUCUGAGGUCACACAACUUAUGCGAACUGCAACUGGAACCUGGACCCAGAUCUUCUGCCUCCAUCUUUCAUGCUGCAGGGUCAACUGUACUUGCUUUGAGAGAAACCGGUUUCCGCUGUGAGGAUAUUCAAGCAACCUGCGGAGCAGCCUACAUGGUGAGGAUCUAAAGCCUCUUACCAACAGCCAUGAGAGGGAACCAUUUUGACAGCGGGUCUUCCAGGCCCUGCCAAGCCUUCAGGUGAUUGCAAUUCCCGUCAACAUCCUGACAGCCAUCUCAUAAGAGAACCUUGGCCAGCACCAUCUCACUAACUCCCUCCCAGAUUCUUGACCCGCAAAAACGGUGAGAUAAUAAAUGUUUGUUGGUUAA